AAACAAAAAGAUUAUAACUUAAAGUUGUUUUUUAGUGUGAAGAUGUUGAUCCAGAUGAUGUAGAUAAGUUAGCAGCAACUGUAAAGAGAGCCCUUAAAACCUAUGGUACUCAAGCCAUGAAAGAGAUAAUCCUGAACUGCAUGGCCCAAAACUUCUCGUGGAAGGUAAGCGUGUGAUUGCCAAUUUUGUAGAAAUGACAUUCAACUAAUCCUUAAUGUGUGAUUUCUGAUACAGAAACCAGCCAAACUGUGGGAGAAGGCGCUGUUGAACCUAGAAGUCACAGGCAACGUAGCUGGAAUAGAUGGGGACGAGAUUGCUCCUCUUGCAAAGGAAAAUGUGGCUACUCCUUGAGAGGAGUGUCCUCGUAAAUUCG
rnacentral:lncRNA from 1 species